rnacentral:rRNA from 1 species
GGGUUGUGAGGUUAAGCGACUAAGCGUACACGGUGGAUGCCCUGGCAGUCAGAGGCGAUGAAGGACGUGCUAAUCUGCGAUAAGCGUCGGUAAGGUGAUAUGAACCGUUAUAACCGGCGAUUUCCGAAUGGGGAAACCCAGUGUGAUUCGUCACACUAUCAUUAACUGAAUCCAUAGGUUAAUGAGGCGAACCGGGGGAACUGAAACAUCUAAGUACCCCGAGGAAAAGAAAUCAACCGAGAUUCCCCCAGUAGCGGCGAGCGAACGGGGAGCAGCCCAGAGCCUGAAUCAGUGUGUGUGUUAGUGGAAGCGUCUGGAAAGGCGCGCGAUACAGGGUGACAGCCCCGUACACAAAAAUGCACAUGCUGUGAGCUCGAUGAGUAGGGCGGGACACGUGGUAUCCUGUCUGAAUAUGGGGGGACCAUCCUCCAAGGCUAAAUACUCCUGACUGACCGAUAGUGAACCAGUACCGUGAGGGAAAGGCGAAAAGAACCCCGGCGAGGGGAGUGAAAAAGAACCUGAAACCGUGUACGUACAAGCAGUGGGAGCACGCUUCGGCGUGUGACUGCGUACCUUUUGUAUAAUGGGUCAGCGACUUAUAUUCUGUAGCAAGGUUAACCGAAUAGGGGAGCCGAAGGGAAACCGAGUCUUAACUGGGCGUUAAGUUGCAGGGUAUAGACCCGAAACCCGGUGAUCUAGCCAUGGGCAGGUUGAAGGUUGGGUAACACUAACUGGAGGACCGAACCGACUAAUGUUGAAAAAUUAGCGGAUGACUUGUGGCUGGGGGUGAAAGGCCAAUCAAACCGGGAGAUAGCUGGUUCUCCCCGAAAGCUAUUUAGGUAGCGCCUCGUGAAUUCAUCUCCGGGGGUAGAGCACUGUUUCGGCAAGGGGGUCAUCCCGACUUACCAACCCGAUGCAAACUGCGAAUACCGGAGAAUGUUAUCACGGGAGACACACGGCGGGUGCUAACGUCCGUCGUGAAGAGGGAAACAACCCAGACCGCCAGCUAAGGUCCCAAAGUCAUGGUUAAGUGGGAAACGAUGUGGGAAGGCCCAGACAGCCAGGAUGUUGGCUUAGAAGCAGCCAUCAUUUAAAGAAAGCGUAAUAGCUCACUGGUCGAGUCGGCCUGCGCGGAAGAUGUAACGGGGCUAAACCAUGCACCGAAGCUGCGGCAGCGACGCUGAUGCGUUGUUGGGUAGGGGAGCGUUCUGUAAGCCUGUGAAGGUGUGCUGUGAGGCAUGCUGGAGGUAUCAGAAGUGCGAAUGCUGACAUAAGUAACGAUAAAGCGGGUGAAAAGCCCGCUCGCCGGAAGACCAAGGGUUCCUGUCCAACGUUAAUCGGGGCAGGGUGAGUCGACCCCUAAGGCGAGGCCGAAAGGCGUAGUCGAUGGGAAACAGGUUAAUAUUCCUGUACUUGGUGUUACUGCGAAGGGGGGACGGAGAAGGCUAUGUUGGCCGGGCGACGGUUGUCCCGGUUUAAGCGUGUAGGCUGGUUUUCCAGGCAAAUCCGGAAAAUCAAGGCUGAGGCGUGAUGACGAGGCACUACGGUGCUGAAGCAACAAAUGCCCUGCUUCCAGGAAAAGCCUCUAAGCAUCAGGUAACAUCAAAUCGUACCCCAAACCGACACAGGUGGUCAGGUAGAGAAUACCAAGGCGCUUGAGAGAACUCGGGUGAAGGAACUAGGCAAAAUGGUGCCGUAACUUCGGGAGAAGGCACGCUGAUAUGUAGGUGAAGUCCCUUGCGGAUGGAGCUGAAAUCAGUCGAAGAUACCAGCUGGCUGCAACUGUUUAUUAAAAACACAGCACUGUGCAAACACGAAAGUGGACGUAUACGGUGUGACGCCUGCCCGGUGCCGGAAGGUUAAUUGAUGGGGUUAGCGGUAACGCGAAGCUCUUGAUCGAAGCCCCGGUAAACGGCGGCCGUAACUAUAACGGUCCUAAGGUAGCGAAAUUCCUUGUCGGGUAAGUUCCGACCUGCACGAAUGGCGUAAUGAUGGCCAGGCUGUCUCCACCCGAGACUCAGUGAAAUUGAACUCGCUGUGAAGAUGCAGUGUACCCGCGGCAAGACGGAAAGACCCCGUGAACCUUUACUAUAGCUUGACACUGAACAUUGAGCCUUGAUGUGUAGGAUAGGUGGGAGGCUUUGAAGUGUGGACGCCAGUCUGCAUGGAGCCGACCUUGAAAUACCACCCUUUAAUGUUUGAUGUUCUAACGUUGACCCGUAAUCCGGGUUGCGGACAGUGUCUGGUGGGUAGUUUGACUGGGGCGGUCUCCUCCUAAAGAGUAACGGAGGAGCACGAAGGUUGGCUAAUCCUGGUCGGACAUCAGGAGGUUAGUGCAAUGGCAUAAGCCAGCUUGACUGCGAGCGUGACGGCGCGAGCAGGUGCGAAAGCAGGUCAUAGUGAUCCGGUGGUUCUGAAUGGAAGGGCCAUCGCUCAACGGAUAAAAGGUACUCCGGGGAUAACAGGCUGAUACCGCCCAAGAGUUCAUAUCGACGGCGGUGUUUGGCACCUCGAUGUCGGCUCAUCACAUCCUGGGGCUGAAGUAGGUCCCAAGGGUAUGGCUGUUCGCCAUUUAAAGUGGUACGCGAGCUGGGUUUAGAACGUCGUGAGACAGUUCGGUCCCUAUCUGCCGUGGGCGCUGGAGAACUGAGGGGGGCUGCUCCUAGUACGAGAGGACCGGAGUGGACGCAUCACUGGUGUUCGGGUUGUCAUGCCAAUGGCACUGCCCGGUAGCUAAAUGCGGAAGAGAUAAGUGCUGAAAGCAUCUAAGCACGAAACUUGCCCCGAGAUGAGUUCUCCCUGACCCUUUAAGGGUCCUGAAGGAACGUUGAAGACGACGACGUUGAUAGGCCGGGUGUGUAAGCGCAGCGAUGCGUUGAGCUAACCGGUACUAAUGAACCGUGAGGCUUAACCUUACAACGCCGAAGCUGUU